rnacentral:rRNA from 1 species
GACGAACGCUGGCGGCGUGCCUAAUACAUGCAAGUCGAACGCUGAAGGAGGAGCUUGCUUCUCUGGAUGAGUUGCGAACGGGUGAGUAACGCGUAGGUAACCUGCCUUGUAGCGGGGGAUAACUAUUGGAAACGAUAGCUAAUACCGCAUAAUAGUAGAUGUCGCAUGACAUUUGCUUAAAAGGUGCAAUUGCAUCACUACCAGAUGGACCUGCGUUGUAUUAGCUAGUUGGUGAGGUAACGGCUCACCAAGGCAACGAUACAUAGCCGACCUGAGAGGGUGAUCGGCCACACUGGGACUGAGACCCGGCCCAGACCCCUACGGGAGGCAGCAGUAGGGAAACGUCGGCAAUGGACGGAAGUCUGACCGAGCAACGCCGCGGGAGUGAAGAAGGGUGUCGGAUCGUAAAGCUCUGUUGUAAGAGAAGAAAGAGUGUGAGAGUGGAAAGUUCACACUGUGACGGUAGCUUACCAGAAAGGGACGGCUAACUACGUG